UACCCAGUGCACAAGGCUCCCGCUUUACGCAGGGUCUGGGAGAGGUGAAUGUCGGCUAGCCUUACCCCCAUUUUAUGGAGAGGCUGCUCCCAAGUCUCGAACCCGAGACCUACCACUCAUGGGCGAAGGCACUUGCCAUCGCACCAAGUGCGACCUCUGCUUACUACCAUUGUGUAAUCCCCAAAUAUUGCAUGAUACAAACCAAUGAUGUUAAGCGUCCUAGACUGACUAAAUCCAUAAAUGUGGCCUUGAGCUGUAGGAAAGUGUCCUUUCUUACACAGAUCAACUGUGGCAUACUUGUGCUGGGCAUCCUUAGGAAGAUAACACCCCAAAUAUUGUGCUGAUACUAAAUUUACAAGGACAUUCCCACAUUUCAAACUUGUAUAUUUGCAUGAAAACAUACCAUAUUAAAAUUCUAAAAUAUCUACUAGAAUUCGUGGAAGUAAAAAAGUUGUUAGUUUUUUGCACUUUCCUCUUUUUAUACUUGAAUCGUCAAGUCACAGUUUUUUUUUUUUUGGCACUCUCUAUUUGGGAUAAUGUGAUCUGCUGAAUAUGAUGACUGGCCUUUGAUACUUGAUCUUUUGAUUCUAUAGUUUAGCCUAAAAAAGUUGUUAAAACUAGCUGUUUACCUUUUAUGGUUUCAAAAAUUCUUUAUGUACUUCUCUUCAAUUUUAAGUAUUCUGAACGGACCUAAUUCUGUAUGACUCAUUUUUUUUAUUGAUUACCUUCAUAUCAUCAGGGAUCUGAGCUUCAAUGACCUUUGGGGGUCACUUCCAUUAUCUCUUAUCUCACUGCCACAUUUGGAUAUACUGUAAGCUCUUCUAUAUUCUUUGUCUCAUAUGAGUCUAGCUACAUAACAUUAGACAUGCCUCCAUAAAUUCAUCUCCAUGUGGUUCAUCGACGGAAAUCUCAGGUGCAACCCUCAUGUUGCAAAAGAUAUUCCCUCCAGUUUCAAUGGCUCAAAACUUACCACGGG
rnacentral:lncRNA from 1 species